GGCUGGCUAGCUCAGCUGGUUAGAGCAUGGUGCUAAUAAUGCCAAGGUUGUGGGUUCGAGCCCCAUGCUGGCCA
rnacentral:tRNA from 1 species